rnacentral:rRNA from 1 species
GGGGGGGCAAGCGUUGUUCGGAAUUACUGGGCGUAAAGGGCGCGUAGGCGGUCCGCUAAGUUGGAUGUGAAAACUCUGGGCUUAACCCAGAGCCUGCAUUCAAACUGACGGGCUAGAGUUCUGGAGGGGGUAGCGGAAUUCCUGGUGUAGCGGUGAAAUGCGUAGAUAUCAGGAGGAACACCGGCGGCGAAGGCGGCUACCUGGACAGAAACUGACGCUGAGGCGCGAAAGCUAGGGGAGCAAACAGGAUUAGAUACCCUGGUAGUCCUAGCCCUAAACGAUGGAUACUCGGUGUGACGGGGAUUGAAUCCCGUCGUGCCGAAGCUAACGCAUUAAGUAUCCCGCCUGGGGAGUACGGUCGCAAGGCUG